CAAUAGCGUAUAUUAAAGCUGUUGCGGUUAAAAAGCUCGUAGUUGGAUUUCUGUCAAGGACAACUGGUCCGCCCCUCGGGUGAGCACAUAGUUUGGUCUUGGCAUCUUGUUGGAAACUGUUGCUGCACUUGGUUGUGUGGCACAGUGUCCAGCACUUUCACUUUGAGGAAAUUGGAGUGUUUCAAGCAGGCACAUGCCUUUGGACACAGUAGCAUGGAAUAAUUAGAUUGGGCUUUUGCUCCAACUUGUCGGUUUCUGGAGCUGAGGUGAGAAUUAAUGGGGAUUGUUGGGGGCAUCCGAAUUUAGCCGUCAGAGGUGAAAUUCUUGGAUCUGCUAAAGACGGACAACUGCGAAAGCGUUUGCCCAGGAUGUUUUCAUUGA
rnacentral:rRNA from 1 species